rnacentral:rRNA from 1 species
CCUACGGGAUGCAGCAGUGAGGAAUAUUGGUCAAUGGGCGGAAGCCUGAACCAGCCAAGUAGCGUGCGGGAUGAAGGCCCUACAGGUCGUAAACCGCUUUUGCACGGGGAUAACACCACCCAGUUGUGGAGGUCUGCAGGUACCGUGCGUAUAAGGGCCGGCUAAUUCCGUUCCAGCAGCCCCGGUACUAGGGUAGGGCCGAGGGUUAUCCGGAUUCAUUGGGCUUAAAGGGAGCGUGGGCGGGCGUGCAAGUCAGCUGGAAAAUCGCGCGCCUCAACCGCGCCCCGCAGUUGAAACUGGACGACUUGAGUGCACAACAGGCAGGGGGAAUUCGUGGUGUAGCGGUGAAAUGCAUAGAUAGCACGAGGAACCCCGAUUGCGAAGGCAGCCAGCCGGGGUGCGACUGACGCUGAGGAGCGAAGGUGCGGGUAUCAAACAGGAUUAGAUACCCUUGUAGUC